UACGUAGGAGGCGAGCGUUGUCCGGAGUUACUGGGCGUAAAGGGUGCGCAGGCGGUGGUCCCGCGUGGGCGGUGAAAAGCUCCUGGCUCAACUGGGAGGAGGGCCGUCCAGACGGGGUCACUUGAGAGGCGGAGAGGGGCGUGGAAGUUCCGGGUCGGAGGCGGUGAAUGCGUAGAGAUACCGGUGAGGAACACCGACGGCGAAGGCAG
rnacentral:rRNA from 1 species